CGUAGGGGGCUAGCGUUAUCCGGAAUUACUGGGCGUAAAGGGUGCGUAGGCGGUCUUUCAAGCCAGAAGUGAAAGGCUACGGCUCAACCGUAGUAAGCUUUUGGAACUGUAAGACUUGAGUGCAGGAGAGGAGAGUGGAAUUCCUAGUGUAGCGGUGAAAUGCGUAGAUAUUAGGAGGAACACCAGUGGCGAAGGCGGCUUUCUGGACUGUAACUGACACUGAGGCACGAAAGCGUGGGGAGCAAACAGGAUUAGAUACCCUGGUAGUCCCUGA
rnacentral:rRNA from 1 species